UACGUAGGGACCGAGCGUUGUCCGGAUUCAUUGGGCGUAAAGAGCUCGUAGGCGGCCGGUUGCGUCUGCUGUGAAAUCCCGGGGCUUAACCCCGGGCGUGCAGUGGAUACGGGCUGGCUGGAGGCAGGCAGGGGAGAAUGGAAUUCCCGGUGUAGCGGUGAAAUGCGCAGAUAUCGGGAGGAACACCGGUGGCGAAGGCGGUUCUCUGGGCCUGUGCUGACGCUGAGGAGCGAAAGCGUGGGGAGCGAACAGG
rnacentral:rRNA from 1 species